UACGUAGGGCGCGAGCGUUGUCCGGAAUUAUUGGGCGUAAAGAGCUCGUAGGCGGCCUGUUGCGUCCGCUGUGAAAUCCCGGGGCUCAACCCCGGGCGUGCAGUGGAUACGGGCUGGCUGGAGGCAGGCAGGGGAGAACGGAAUUCCUGGUGUAGCGGUGAAAUGCGCAGAUAUCAGGAGGAACACCAGUGGCGAAGGCGGUUCUCUGGGCCUGUACUGACGCUGAGGAGCGAAAGCGUGGGGAGCGAACAGG
rnacentral:rRNA from 1 species